rnacentral:rRNA from 1 species
UACGGAAGGUCCGGGCGUUAUCCGGAUUUAUUGGGUUUAAAGGGAGCGUAGGCCGUCUGUUAAGCGUGUUGUGAAAUGUAGAUGCUCAACAUCUGAAUUGCAGCGCGAACUGACCGACUUGAGUGCGCAGGAAGUAGGCGGAAUUCGUGGUGUAGCGGUGAAAUGCUUAGAUAUCACGAAGAACUCCGAUUGCGAAGGCAGCUUACUGUAGCGCCACUGACGCUGAAGCUCGAAAGUGCGGGUAUCGAACAGG